UGAGGAAUAUUGGGCAAUGGAGGCAACUCUGACCCAGCCAUGCCGCGUGAGUGAAGAAGGUUUUCGGAUUGUAAAGCUCUUUCGGAUGUGACGAUGAUGACGGUAGCAUCUAAAGAAGCCCCGGCUAACUUCGUGCCAGCAGCCGCGGUAAUACGAAGGGGGCAAGCGUUGUUCGGAAUUACUGGGCGUAAAGGGAGUGUAGGCGGUUUGGUAAGAUAGUGGUGAAAUCCCAGAGCUUAACUUUGGAAUUGCCAUUAUAACUAUUAGACUAGAAUUACAGAGAGGAUAGUGGAAUACCCAGUGUAGAGGUGAAAUUCGUAGAUAUUGGGUAGAACACCAGUGGCGAAGGCGACUAUCUGGCUGUAAAUUGACGCUGAGGCUCGAAAGCAUGGGGAUCAAACAGG
rnacentral:rRNA from 1 species